AUGCACGCUGGCGGCGUGCCUAAUACCUGCAAGUCGCGCGAACAGACGAGGAGCUUGCUCCUCUGACGUUAGCGGCGGACGGGUGAGUAACACGUGGAUAACCUACCUAUAAGACUGGGAUAACUUCGGGAAACCGGAGCUAAUACCGGAUAAUAUAUUGAACCGCCUGGUUCAAUAGUGAAAGACGGUUUUGCUGUCACUUAUAGAUGGAUCCGCGCCGCAUUAGCUAGUUGGUAAGGUAACGGCUUACCAAGGCAACGAUGCGUAGCCGACCUGAGAGGGUGAUCGGCCACACUGGAACUGAGACACGGUCCAGACUCCUACGGGAGGCAGCAGUAGGGAAUCUUCCGCAAUGGGCGAAAGCCUGACGGAGCAACGCCGCGUGAGUGAUGAAGGUCUUCGGAUCGUAAAACUCUGUUAUUAGGGAAGAACAAAUGUGUAAGUAACUAUGCACGUCUUGACGGUACCUAAUCAGAAAGCCACGGCUAACUACGUG
rnacentral:rRNA from 1 species